rnacentral:lncRNA from 1 species
GCGGCUCUUUUCCCACAAAGUUCUUGAGUAACAGAAACAUCAUAAACUCUUUCCAAUGACUACAACCUACCAAACUCAUUGGGAAGGGUUUAUGAUGAGGAUGGUGGAGUACAACAGUGACACAAACACUGAAGUACUCCAUUGAAAGAUUAUCCACAUUAGCUAUUGGAGAAACACUCCAAUAUGGUUAAUGAACUACAACAUUUUAUUUAUAGGAGAACAUCAAAAGGGACUUGUAAACCACAAGAGCCCUUGUAAGAAUGUGUCUCCAACUCACAUUAUUACAUACGGUGAUAUUCUGCUACAAAGAAUUCACUAACAACAUAAGUUACUGCUCUGUCACACACAGCAAGGUUUUGGGCAAUUAUGUCCAAAAUCUUUGAUGUGUGUGGAACCAACCCCACCCACACCACCACACCCCCCCCCCCCCCCCCCCCCCCCCCAAAAAAAAAAGAAGCAGUGUCCCAGCAUCCCCAAGUUUUGGAGACUUCAACCUUAAUAGGUAGGUGAACUUGUUGGUACAAAGAAAGACCAGCAAAUGCAAAUGGUUGAAAUCCUAUCCGGAACUCUCUACUAUUCUCUGAAUGCAACGAGUCCAGACGAAGUAAAGAUGUCUUUUCUCAGUAGCAGUCUUUUGGAGAUGGUACUUUCUCUAUCAACACAAACUACAGAUAUUCCUCAGAUCAGUAGUCUUCUUCAACUAGUAUAUCUAUCCUACAAGUCGAAGAACACACAACCUCCGUAUCAACCAAUAUCCAUUCACGUCUUUGCUGCACACAUGGGAGGUGCUUCGAGAAGAAUCUGAGUGCAGAGUAGUAUAACAAGCCAAGGUGAGAAAGAAUCAAGCUGAAAACCAUGACUUUGUCACAGCAGUUAAAUGAAAUAUGUUAUAAUGAAGCUUUGACAUUGAGGAGGCUAUUUGCAUUUCUCACUCAACUGAAUUUGAUUUCUGUUUGCAGGUCAGGAAGCUGCAGCUCAUUGUGUUGCUGUUCAAACUGUUUGAAGCGGGCAUGGAAUGGGCAGCUGGCACCAAAUUGAAGGGUUCUUUUACUUUCCUGGAAGCAUCUCCUAUUGUACUAUAAUAUUUCAACACCAAGUUCUAGUUGUAUAGCCUUAGAGGCUUGCUUUUGUUCCACAGUCGCUAUCAUUAUAGAAGUGGCGCUAUACAGAAGCUUCUGCUACAUGGCUGCUGGAGUCUCAGUUUCCUAUAUUAGUAUAACCAGACACUAGUGUGAUGUUCUGGUUACUGAUAUAGAAUCUUUGAACUCCAUCCUUAAUGGAGUAGUAGUUCCUAGUUACAGUCAUUUCGAAAAUGUACGAUUAUUUUUGUAUUUUGAAGGUCUUAAAACUAUCAAUGACCUACCUUCAGUCUGAAACAUCCUACCCUUUUACCACCAAAAAUUGUAUCCUUGUUAAUAUUGUUUCGAUUAUCAUUGUAUCCUUGUGAAUGUUGU